UACGUAGGGACCAAGCGUUGUUCGGAUUUACUGGGCGUAAAGGGCGCGUAGGCGGCGUGACAAGUCACUUGUGAAAUCUCUGAGCUUAACUCAGAACGGCCAAGUGAAACUGUUGUGCUAGAGUGCAGAAGGGGCAACUGGAAUUCUCGGUGUAGCGGUGAAAUGCGUAGAUAUCGAGAGGAACACCUGCGGCGAAGGCGGGUUGCUGGGCUGACACUGACGCUGAAGCGCGAAAGCUAGGGGAGCGAACGGG
rnacentral:rRNA from 1 species